rnacentral:rRNA from 1 species
UUACCCCAAACCAACACAGGUGGACAGGUAGAGCAUACCAAGGCGAGUGGGAUAACUAUGGUUAAGGAACUCGGCAAAUUGCCUCCGUAACUUCGGGAGAAGGAGGACCUCAGUAGCGUGAUGAGACUUGCUCUCUGAGCGUGAAGGGGUGGCACAAAAUUGUGGGAAGCGACUGUUUACCAAAAACACAGCAGCGUGCUAAGCCGUAAGGCGCUGUAUACGCUGUGACUCCUGCCCGGUGCUGGAAGGUUACGGGGAUGGGUUAGUCCUUCGGGACGAAGCUCUGAACCUAAGCCCCAGUAAACGGCGGCCGUAACUAUAACGGUCCUAAGGUAGCGAAAUUCCUUGUCGGGUAAGUUCCGACCUGCACGAAUGGAGUAACGACUUCCCUACUGUCUCAACCAUAGACCCAGCGAAAUUGAAGUACGAGUAAAGAUGCUCGUUAGCUGCAGAAGGACGGAAAGACCCCGUGGACCUUUACUAUAACUUGAUGUUGUGUUUUGUCAUAUGUUGUGUAGGAUAGGUGGGAGACUUGGAAGCAUGGACGCUAGUCUGUGUGGAGUCAUCGUUGAAAUACCACCCUGCAUAUGGUGAGGCUCUAACCUAGACCCGUUAUCCGGGUUGGGGCCAGCGUCAGGCGGGUAGUUUAACUGGGGCGGUUGCCUCCUAAAGAGUAACGGAGGCGCCCAAAGGUUCCCUCAGCCUGGUUGGCAAUCAGGCGUUGAGUGCGAUGGCAAAAGGGAGCUUGACUGCGAGACCUACAAGUCGAGCAGGAGCGAAAGCUGGGCAUAGUGAUCCGGCGGUUGCGUGUGGAAGCGCCGUCGCUCAACGGAUAAAAGGUACCCCGGGGAUAACAGGCUAAUCUUGCCCAAGCGUCCAUAGCGACGGCAAGGUUUGGCACCUCGAUGUCGGCUCAUCGCAUCCUGGGGCUGAAGCAGGUCCCAAGGGUUGGGCUGUUCGCCCAUUAAAGCGGUACGCGAGCUGGGUUCAGAACGUCGUGAGACAGUUCGGUCCCUAUCCUCUGCAGCCGGAGGUGAAUUGAGGAAAGCUGUCCCUAGUACGAGAGGACCGGGACGGACGCAGCUCUCGUGUGCCAGUUGUCCUGCCAAGGGCAUGGCUGGUUAGCGACCUGCGGAAAGGAUAACCGCUGAAAGCAUCUAAGCGGGAAGCCUCUUCCAAGAUGAAUUCACCCACAGGGUUAACCUGGUAAGGCCCGUGGUAGACCACCACGUUGAUAGGCCGGAAGUGUAAGCGUGGCAACACGUUCAGCUGACCGGUACUAAUCGGCCGAGGGCUUGAGUCG